rnacentral:rRNA from 1 species
UCGGGAAUUUUGGGCAAUGGGCGAAAGCCUGACCCAGCAACGCCGCGUGAAGGAUGAAGUAUUUCGGUAUGUAAACUUCGUAAGAAUAGGAAGAAUAAAUGACGGUACUAUUUGUAAGGUCCGGCUAACUACGUGCCAGCAGCCGCGGUAAUACGUAGGGACCAAGCGUUGUUCGGAUUUACUGGGCGUAAAGGGCGCGUAGGCGGCAAUUCAAGUCAUCUGUGAAAUCUCCGGGCUUAACUCGGAACGGUCAGAUGAUACUGCUUUGCUAGAGUGCAGAAGGGGCAAUCGGAAUUCUUGGUGUAGCGGUGAAAUGCGUAGAUAUCAAGAGGAACACCUGAGGUGAAGACGGGUUGCUGGGCUGACACUGACGCUGAGGCGCGAAAGCCAGGGGAGCAAACGGGAUUAGAUACCCUAGUAGUCCCUGAGCGGGCUGGCAAGGCGCAU